rnacentral:lncRNA from 1 species
AUUCUUCUUCAAGAUUGUCCCUCGCCCUACCAAACCCUGCUUUAAAAACCAGCUUGUUUCUCCCUGCUUCUAAAUAUGCAAGCAUCCUGGAUGAGCAUUCUCAGUGUUGAAGAUUAGAUUUGAUAGAUAGUUGAAACCACACAAGAAAUGAUGACAUGGGAAACUGGUACCCGGAUUCUCUAGCAAACCCAUGAGCCACACUGAUAUAAGCAAAUAAGUGGAUGAAUGGGAGAAGCCAGAAAGCCUUCCUAGGAAUUAUAUUGAUGAAGAGUAAGAAUGCAAAUGCAAAGAUGGAUUAGAAAAUCAUCUGUGGAUGCCCAUGGUACAGAAUGAAUGUGGGAUAAGGAAAGUUUUGUUCACUUAGUCUGGAAGUAUCUCCCAGAAAAUGCUUGUUUACAAAGGGAAAUUUGCUACUGUGACAAUGAUGGAAGCUGGUAAACCUUCUACAGGUUAACAGUGUUAACUAAACUUGUAACGCACAUGGGGACAAACCCAUAUGGCUUCACCUCCCAUAGUACAUCAAGGGGACACAACUCAAUCUCCAGUCUUCUUACAGCACUGGUGUAGCCAUAAGGAAGCAUUCGAUAACCCCACAGUAAGGAACAUUCUACAGGAAAACUGGCUUGUGCUCUUCUUGGGGGUCAAGGUCAAGAGGACAAAGGAGAGUCAAAGAGCCGGUUAAAAAGAGGUGGUUUUUAAAGUUACAGUGAUGAGGAAGUGUGACCUAUGAGUCUGAGUCGGGUCCUACCCUGGGAAAGAAAACCCAUGAAGACUUGGACCAUUGAUGACUUGUUCUCUGUCAGAUGCCAGUCAUCUCAGGGUAAUCUGUCUCAAAAUCCUUUGGAAAGCAAGAGCUACAGAUGCACCAGGCUCACAGAGGAUGUCAGGAAUCCUGCUGGAACGCAUCUGAAGGUCAUGUUAAAGGCUUCCUGGCAUAGCUGGGCUGCAGGGAGCUUGGGUAUGUUUUGGAUGGGAUGAAGCCAUGUCCUGUUCCUUGACUCAAUCUUCUCAUUCAUUCAUUCCCUCUAACCAACCUCUAUGUAAAACACCCCAAAAUAUCGAUCACUGGGAUCCUGGAGUUUGGACUCAUAAUAUCUGUUGAAGAAUGACCUCUGCUGACUUAGCUUCCCAGUAGUGCCUUUAAACAGACUGGCCCAAAAAAUAGGAAAAUAAAAUCAAAUCAUCAAAAACA